rnacentral:lncRNA from 1 species
GUCUGGGUAUGAAAUCUCAAACUAGUGAAAUACUGAUUUUCACCCGAUGAGACGAGAGUCUUUGUGCCUUGGGAUGUCACAGGUGGACAUCUGAGAGCCAGCUGCCUGGGGCAGACCUUCGUGAGACAAGACAGAGCAAGUAGAGAUGACAGCUGUGUUCCGGUUUCGUCUGGAUAAUACCCAAUCUAGAUAGUGUAAUGCCUGAGAGAACUCAGUUAUUUGGGGAAUUUACAAUUAGCUUCUCUGAAAGACACAAAACCUUUG